rnacentral:rRNA from 1 species
GACGAACGCUGGCGGCGUGCUUAACACAUGCAAGUCGAGCGGUAAGGCCCUUUCGGGGGUACACGAGCGGCGAACGGGUGAGUAACACGUGGGUGACCUGCCCUCAGCUCUGGGAUAAGCCUGGGAAACCGGGUCUAAUACUGGAUAUGACUCCAUGACGCAUGUUGUGGGGUGGAAAGCCUUGUGCGGCUGAGGAUGGGCCCGCGGCCUAUCAGCUUGUUGGUGGGGUGANGGCCUACCAAGGCGACGACGGGUAGCCGGCCUGAGAGGGCGACCGGCCACACUGGGACUGAGACACGGCCCAGACUCCUACGGGAGGCAGCAGUGGGGAAUCUUGCGCAAGUGGGCGCAAGCCUGAUCCAGCGAUGCCGCGUGUGUGAAGAAGGCCU